GUGGCGGGUAUGAGAGAAUCGUCGCCGCCGUGUUGGUGGAGAAGGACGGCGUGGAAGUGAAGCAAGAACACGCGGCGAGGCUGUUACUGCAGACGAUCUCGCCGGAGUGUGAAUUUAGGGUGGUUCAUUGUAUCGCCGCCGUGUGAUUCGGCGGAGGAAAUAAAUAGUUAAAGGUUAACUCAACUAUUUACUGCAUGUUAAUAAAAAAUGAUUUCGAAUUUUCAGAAAUAUUUUUUUUAUAAAGAGAAAAAUAGUCUCUGUUGAGAAAUAAAUGGAUCG
rnacentral:misc_RNA from 1 species